AAUUUUUUUACUCUUAAAAUUUGUAGCAGGAAAAUUAGAGUAUGUCUGCAUAUUUAAUACUUUGACAAAAUUGUGAUUUAGUUUAGGAAUUAAGUUUAUUUGCUUUAAUUUUAAUACUUAAAUUUAUGUAAAUGGGAAAUCUAGUAGUAAUUAAUUUUAUAAAUUCAUUUAUGGUGAGAUUUAGUAAUAGCAUAAUUUUUAACAAAUUUUUGUGCCAGCAGUUGCGGUUAUACAAAAGAAAAAACUUAAUUUUUGUGACUAUUAGUUAAUUUAAGAGUAAAAAAAUUUUUAAUUUUUUGUUGAGAGGUGAAAUUUUAAUUUAAAUUAUGAAUUUAUUGAAUAAAUGAUCUAGAAAAAUUUUGCCUAUAGACCAGGAUUAGAUACCCUGUUAUUUAAAUUGUAGAUAGAUUUAGUUUAAUUAGUAUGAGUUAAGUUCUUGAAAAUUAAAAAUCUUGGCGGUACUUUAACCUAUCAGAGGAACUUGUCCUGUAAUUGAUAGUCCACGAUUUAUUUUACUUUUAUAAUUGCUUGUAUAUCGUUGUUGAAACGAAAAUUUUGGGAAAAUUUUAAUUUUCUGUAGUUAUUAAAUUAUUUUAUAUCAAAUCAAGGUGCAGCUUUUGGAAGGAGAGAUGAGUUACGUUUAUUGAAUUAAUUCUGAAAGUUUUUUUUUGUGAGGAUUUGAAAGUAAUUUUAUUUAUUAAAAUAAAGUGAAUUAGGCUCUUAAGUAUGUACAUAUCGCCCGUCGCUUUCAUUGAUUGAUGAAAUAAGUCGUAACAUAGUAGAUUUAUCGGAAGAUGACUCUGGAAUGCC
rnacentral:rRNA from 1 species